rnacentral:misc_RNA from 1 species
AGCCUACAACAGAACGACCAGCGAACUCGUGACACAAGACUGAGGCGCCCCGCGCGCCUCGAUGCCCGGACGCGCCCGUAACGGGCGCGACCGUGGCACAAUAACGAACCCCGGCACGGGCCGUGCCAAGGAAAAUCGAUGAAGACAGAGUCCCUCGCUGCCCCGUUUUGCGGGCGCGUGCGCGGGACAGAGCUUCUUUCACAGAACACGACUCUCGGCAACGGAUAUCUCGGCUCUCGCAUCGAUGAAGAACGUAGCGAAAUGCGAUACUUGGUGUGAAUUGCAGAAUCCCGUGAACCAUCGAGUCUUUGAACGCAAGUUGCGCUUGAAGCCAUUAGGCUGAAGGCACGUCUGCCUGGGCGUCUCGCAACGCGUCGCCCCCAACCCUGCGUCUCCGUCGGAGCGUCGGAUGUUCGGGGCAGAUGAUGGCCUCCUGUGGGCAAUCGCGCGCAGUUGGCCUAAAAAGCGAAGUUCCGGACAAUGGAUCGUCGCGGCACGUGGUGGUCGGAACUACUCUGUCGCGCGGUGCUGUCGGCGCAGCCAUUGUCGGGCGAAGCUCGGACCCUCGUGCGCCGUCCUCGACGGCGCACCGACAGCGACCCCAGGUCA